rnacentral:lncRNA from 1 species
CUGGCCAGGUCUCUCCGGGAAUCUAACAUGGCCAGUGUUUCUUCUAGAGGUGGAACCAAUCAUGAUUUAUUUGGAGGAGCACAAGAUUAACCAGUUGGCUUGUGUUUCGGGGCCAUGAUGUAUAAAAUACUAAGAUUCCUAUCCCUGUCCUUGAAGGGCUGUUGACUGCAGGUCUGUGCCCCAUCCCUUAGAGGCUUGAAUGGAGCGGGCUGGGAGAAUAUGAAGAGGAUUCUGAAUUACACCAAAUAUGAGAUGUUUGCACAAAGACAGACAUUCGAGGUCCUAGAUGGAGUCACCUCAUCCAUCCGAGGCUAACUCCAGAGCAGGAGCCCAUGGAAGAAAAUAGUGGAUGAAAAUGCCUGCAC